rnacentral:rRNA from 1 species
AGCUCUGUAAGCGUAUACCAAAGUUGUUGCAGUUAAAACGCUCGUAGUCGGAUUUUGGAGCAGCCCGUGCUGUGCGCGUAGUGCGUGCGGCGCUGGGAUGUUCUUUUGUGGAGGGCGGCGCGUCGUGGCUUUGCUGUCGCGGCGUGUCGGCGCCACCGUUUACUGUGAAAAAAUUAGAGUGUUCAAAGCAGGCGUUUGCCCUGAAUACAUUAGCAUGGAAUAAUAGAAUAGGACCGCGGUUCUAUUUUGUUGGUUUCUACGACCGCAGUAAUGAUUAAGAGGGACAAUUGGGGGCGUCCGUAUUUCGUUGUCAGAGGUGAAAUUCUUGGAUUUACGAAAGACGAACAACUGCGAAAGCAUUCGCCAAGAGUGUUUUCAUUAAUCAAGAACGAAAGUACGC